rnacentral:tRNA from 1 species
AGCCCCGAGGUGUCAUCACGUAAGAUUGCAAAUCUUAAGUAGCAGGGUAUAACCUGCCGGGGCUU